rnacentral:rRNA from 1 species
GAAUCGCUAGUAAUCGUGGAUCAGAAUGCCACGGUGAAUACGUUCCCGGGCCUUGUACACACCGCCCGUCACACCAUGGGAGUGGACUGCACCAGAAGUGGUUAGCUUAACCUUCGGGAGAGCGAUCACCACGGUGUGGUUCAUGACUGGGGUGAAGUCGUAACAAGGUAGCCGUAGGGGAACCUGCGGCUGGAUCACCUCC